ACGUACACUCCUACGGGAGGCAGCAGUGGGGAAUAUUGGACAAUGGGCGCAAGCCUGAUCCAGCCAUGCCGCGUGAGUGAUGAAGGCCCUAGGGUUGUAAAGCUCUUUCACCGGUGAAGAUAAUGACGGUAACCGGAGAAGAAGCCCCGGCUAACUUCGUGCCAGCAGCCGCGGUAAUACGAAGGGGGCUAGCGUUGUUCGGAUUUACUGGGCGUAAAGCGCACGUAGGCGGACUAUUAAGUCAGGGGUGAAAUCCCGGGGCUCAACCCCGGAACUGCCUUUGAUACUGGUAGGCUUGAGUUCGAGAGAGGUGAGUGGAAUUCCGAGUGUAGAGGUGAAAUUCGUAGAUAUUCGGAGGAACACCAGUGGCGAAGGCGGCUCACUGGCUCGAUACUGACGCUGAGGUGCGAAAGCGUGGGGAGCAAACAGGAUUAGAAACCCCGGUAGUCCCAUGA
rnacentral:rRNA from 1 species